UAGAGUUUGAUCCUGGCUCAGGAUGAACGCUGGCGGCGUGCCUAAUACAUGCAAGUCGAACGCACAGCGAAAGGUGCUUGCACCUUUCAAGUGAGUGGCGAACGGGUGAGUAACACGUGGAUAACCUACCUCAAGGUUGGGGAUAACAUUUGGAAACAGAUGCUAAUACCGAAUAAAACUUAGUAUCGCAUGAUACCAGGUUAAAAGGCGCUACGGCGUCACCUAGAGAUGGAUCCGCGGUGCAUUAGUUAGUUGGUGGGGUAAAGGCUUACCAAGACAAUGAUGCAUAGCCGAGUUGAGAGACUGAUCGGCCACAUUGGGACUGAGACACGGCCCAAACUCCUACGGGAGGCUGCAGUAGGGAAUCUUCCACAAUGGGCGAAAGCCUGAUGGAGCAACGCCGCGUGUGUGAUGAAGGCUUUCGGGUCGUAAAGCACUGUUGUAUGGGAAGAACAGCUAGAGUAGGGAAUGACUUUAGUUUGACGGUACCAUACCAGAAAGGGACGGCUAAAUACGUGCCAGCAGCCGCGGUAAUACGUAUGUCCCGAGCGUUAUCCGGAUUUAUUGGGCGUAAAGCGAGCGCAGACGGUUAAUUAAGUCUGAUGUGAAAGCCCGGAGCUCAACUCCGGAAAGGCAUUGGAAACUGGUUAACUUGAGUGCAGUAGAGGUAAGUGGAACUCCAUGUGUAGCGGUGGAAUGCGUAGAUAUAUGGAAGAACACCAGCGGCGAAGGCGGCUUACUGGACUGUAACUGACGUGAGGCUCGAAAGUGUGGGUAGCAAACAGGAUUAGAUACCCUGGUAGUCCACACCGUAAACGAUGAACACUAGGUGUUAGGAGGUUUCCGCCUCUUAGUGC
rnacentral:rRNA from 1 species